UGUUAAAAUUUCGUCCAAUUUUAUUGAUAAAAAUUAGUGUGGCUAAUAGAAUAAUUAGACAGUUAUAUGUGCGUGACAUAUGCACCUCAUUUUAACAUACAAUGAUCAAUUUUUAAUAGUAGAAAUGGAUGAUUUUUUAACA
rfam:Gossypium raimondii Chr02_contig_430, whole genome shotgun sequence.